rnacentral:lncRNA from 1 species
GGAGGCCUCGGACCUGCUACACCUUCCCACGGAAGCCGCAACGCUAGAGCUACCAUGAGUGGAACCUCGCAGCACCGCUGAUCGCCUUUGCAACAUUUUGCCGAGCACCGGCCAAUGACGAAGCCGCGCGACCAAGCAUGACCACCACUUCGCUGCAUCCGAAGAACAACAGCUGCUACCACAGCCCAUCGGCUCCAAGGUCGAGCCCCGAACCCUAGUUGGCGUCAUUCCCGAUGCCAACAAAAACCCUAUUCUGCUUUCAUACACUUGCUAUAUGAUUCAUCUUUAUCCAUCUAUCUAUACUUGUCGAUACAUGAAUUAUUUAUUCUAUGCCUGUGCCGUGCCUUCGUGCCGGUCUGUUUAUCUAUCCGUUUAUCUAUCUCUGUUGGUCGCUAUGGAAAUGUGCUACUCUACUUUGUCUUUGUGUUGGUCGCGGCAUUGUGGUUCUUUGUGCGUUGGUUCUUGUGUCAUGUGGUUGGUUGGUUGUGAACCGUGCCUUCGAGCCGGUUGAGAGAGUGAUGUGUUUGAAUGUUGCGAUCGCGAGUUGUCUCGCCAUGGUCGUAGUGCCAAGCAUAUCCCUUCGCGGGUUGUCGUCGUUCUUUCUUUUGUUAUUUGCCUGAGGACUGAGCCUUCGAGCCGGUCGGGGAAGUGGUAGUGCGUUUGAUCAUUUCGAUCGUGGGUCCGUCCCGCCGUGAUCGCGAUGCCGAGCGUAACUCGUCUCCCCGUGUUUAGUUGACUUCGUUGCGCUACGGUCGUUAGCUCCUAUUCCCGUCCCUCGGACGUGGUCAUCGUGGACUCGAUGUCAUUAACGACGCGGUUCUUACCCGCACACCCGAGACCUAAAUGACCUAGUCGAGUGGGAUACGAAUUAGGGGACAACCUUCGUGGAACAGUCGGAGGCCAACUCGUUAGGUGAAGCUCAUGGUCGCGAGACGCCUCGCCAUGGCCAUUGAGCCUAUCCCAUUUUUCUCGCGUGUUUAUUUAUUCUGUCUCGUAUGCUUAUGCCACCUAGACCCGGGCAUUUCCCUAGUUCCCGCGAUGACAACCGCAUCGCCUGAAACUACGGAAAUGACCUUGUGCCGAUUCAGAAGCACCUAGGUUGAGAAGUGUUAUGAGUUGGAGUAGAUCGUGGGGUCGUAUCUCUUUUAACCAAUCGUCGUUCGCUCCAUGGCGAGUUGGUCGAAAGAGUGUGAUUCAUUCUUCUUCUCUCUUGUUCUCAAUCCCAUCGAUCCAGUAAGAUGUGGAUUAAGCCUCUUUUGCUUGUUUGAUGUUUCGUUUCCAAUCCCGUGAUUCUCGCUGUUGCUAUGGCGAGUGGGUCACACGAAGAUGAAUCUCGUAUCCCUUCCCUGCCUUUUUGGUUCUUUGUGCUUAAACUCUUGUAUGUUUGUACUUAAUCAACCGUAGCAUUUCUUUGGUUCUCGCGGUGACAACCGCACCGCUAAGAACCUUAGUGAUGUCUUAGUGCAUUUAGUGCACCUAGGUUGUGGCGCCCUACAAGUAGUUUGAGCACUCGUGUCCUUGGUGUGUCACUCCCUCUUAUGCCCUGUCUUUUGCCGUGGCAUGAGUAUUGGAAGGAGUAGACCACUUCCCUUCUUCUUCUCUCUUUAUUCCACCCUCUCUUGGCUCUCUCCAACUACAAUGGCGUAUGGGUUGAGAGAGACCGGAACUUCUCGUGCUCAUAGUCUUUACGAUUCCUGUCGAUCUCUAUGACACUUGGAUCGAAAGACCGUAAGCUGUGGUGUUUGCUUAGAAUGAGUUAGAGUCUAAGCCAUUUAUUAAAGCCGUACAGGUCGACACGAUCGACCCGGGAAGUACCGGCUAGGCUAAGACUCAAGCUUGUACUUGGUGAACAACCAUUUCCGUUUCUUUUAGCCCAGGGAUCGGACACCCACCGAGAGGGCUAAGCCGUUUUCCUUUUGGUGCUCUUUCAGUGUAGUUGUCCUUCAGUGUUUUGUCGCCUCUUUUCACAGUCUUUCUAGGACUAGUGGAUUGAUUGUUUCGCCUUGUUUGUCGUUUACGAGGUAGUUGCUUCGGGUAGCGUUGAUCGAAUCGGAACCAGUUGAAGGAAGGACAUGCAGAUAGGAGAAAGACCUUGGAUGAGUACAACUACAAGUGAACUGAGGAUCUUGGAAAUGUCACUCGACAGGUGCCACGUCCCACCCAACCUCGUAGAAUCCUAUUAGACAUACAAUAUGUAGAUGCUAGUGCUUUACUUUUAUGCAAAUGAAUUGAGAUAGGUUGCAUGGUAGAAAUGCUUGUGAGCCAUUGCCUUGUUGCAACCUAUAACCCUCGCACACCCGCUGUUAGGUUAGACGCUUGCAAACUACUUGCUACUGCUUCUACUACGCAUUAUAUCUGUGAUGUGAUGCAUUGUGGAGGAUUGGAUGUGAGUGGAUCAGGCACGUGGUGCCGAUAACUGGUUAAGAAAUGGAUAAUGGAUUUGGGGAGAUCUUGGCGUGUGUCUUGGGUGUGUGGUGAGGGUCGAGUCGACCGAGCAGGAUCUACGACGAGUCUUGGGACAAGUCUUGCCGGAGGACGCUACCUGGGCGUUCUCCACGAGAGAUACCUGUGGCGGGUACAUGUGACAGGGAGAGGUCCCGGAGUGGAGUGUCUUCGUGGGACGAAGCACCGGGAUGGGAGGUGCUGUUUAGCACGGGGUAAUCGGAUGUCCCGUCGAGCGGGGCAUCGGUUGGCCCCUCGUGAAGAUGUCCUGUUCGGUCACCCUAAGGACUGAGAUGUCCUGAGAACCGGUUCGUAGGAAGCCUUGCAUUCCCACUCGCCUUAGCCAUGGAACGGGACGGAUGUACGACCAGCUAGGGCGGUGCCACUACUACUAGGUUGUUAGCGGAAAGUGUAGGGAGGUACGGGCCUGGGACCCACACCCUCCUAAGACAGCGUAGUGACCUUGGGGGCCCGGUACUACGUCUCACAGUCUCAGCAUGCCGGUGGUACUCCGGCAUGGCCCCAGUCCUGAGUGGUAGGGUGGCAUCGUGUUUAGUUGGAAGGCAGCCCGGUAUCAGCCUAGACGAUGUACAGCUUCGAUGAUGGUGAUCUUGUGGGUAGUGCAAACCUCUGCAGAGUUUUUGGUUGAUCGAUCGAUACAUAUGCCGUUUACGGCUAUGGACCUUUCCUAUGUUUCCGCUUCACUUGACUAGUGAGAGGAGUCCUUUCUACCUUCCCCUGGGUUUGUGUUGGAUCCGGCGUUGGCCGAUGAGGCAAGGCACGAGCGGGAGUCGUACUUGCCGCCUAGAGAGUGAGAGUGUGGUGAGAUGUGUGUGAUGGGAUGGAUGGAUGGAUGUGUGGAAGAGAUGGAAUAAAACUUGAUGAAUUAUUACUAUAUAAUAUUGAUGAACUUACAUAGGAAAAACUACAGCCAUAUAUAUAGGCCUCUUGAAUCACCCUUGCAUUCCACUUACCACAAAGCUUACGCAAAAGCAUAGGGUGGGAGCCAGUGGCCAGUACAAAUCGUACUAAAAAUUGUUUAGCAGGUUUUGAACGUGGUCCAUGACGAUGACUACGGAGAAUAGAAGGAUUAGGUGGUCUUGUUCCUGCGCUCAAGUUUGGUUCGGAGAUGAAGGCUACGCCCGCUGAUAAACUAUGCCGACUCUGAUGAUUGCCUGUGAAGGAGGAGCCUUCACCGCUGACGCGCUACAUCAACUUUGAUAUAGACCCGUGUGUGUUUCCGCUAGAAAAACGAUGUAAUAGGCUGGUUGACCAAGAGUUGUAAAGUAAAUGUGAUGUAAUCUUGUUUUUCACGAUGUAUGACUAUGAUAACAGCUGAUAUAUGAUAAUGUGAUGGAUCAAUUUUUGAAUUAUCACAUUAUAAUUCGAAUCUGAGGAUUUUUCCCUUUGUGGAAAAAAUCUAGGUCGUUUCAGUUGGUAUCAGAGCCAUACUUGACCCUAGGACGAGACCUUUAGGACCAAACGCUAGUUUAGAAGCCAAACAUUCUAUCUUUUGUAGAGUUAUAGAUGCUAACACUUGUUUUCCCCCUCCGCCUUGAAUUCUGCUGCUAACUGACCUCCCUGUUUCAUAAAGUUGACCGUUGGAAUCCUUUCCCAUACCCGCCCACGCUAGAUCGGUAAUCGUGUGAGACUUUGAAGGUCUGUGAGCCGCCUCAAGUCAACACUAUGCAUUAGGAGUUGUAAUGCUGUUUGAGUGCUUGGAUCUUAUGUUGUUGCAUUUCUUCUGCUUCUUGUUGUCUGAGUGUAAGUCAUAGAACCUGUUUUAUGCGAGAAAGACUCUGGAUCCCAUCCAACCUAGCCGACUAAACCUAAGACCGUCCUGAGACUAGAUAGGUGACCCUGGCUAACAGAGCUGAAAAUGGGUGUAAAGCUGGUGCAUCAUGUCUUGCCCAUCUAUUUCAAAACUGUUUUUGGCUUCCAACUAAACUUGUCUUCAAAAUUGCCACUUGGUUUGAAAAAUUUUCUCUCCUUUUUGGUUAAAGUAUUUCCCUUUUUAACAAAAGCAUCUCUAUUUCAAAUGGAAAAGUGUUUCAAAACUCUCCCAAUACCUUCCCUUUUCACAAAUAAAGCAAUUUUAACUCCUUUCUCAACUUAAUUUUAUUCAAAAGCUAUUUUAUGAAACAAUUUUAAAACAAAUCAUCUUGCAAAAGGUGUGACAAAACCUCUUCCAAAUAUAUAUAUAUAUAUAUAAUAAAAUAAAGGUUUUGCCUUUUUCAUCAACAAAGUGGUUUUCAAACCAAAGAACUUUGGCUCAGUUUUGUUUUAAAGGCCUUUGACUUUAUCUCAGGAGCCAAAUUCCUUUAAAAAUCCAUCUUGUCUUAAAAGAAAAAAAAAAUUGCCAGUGAUUUAUUAAACAAAAACCAUUGCGAAAAGAUUUUAUUUGCAUCCUUUCAAGGAAAAGUUUUAGCAAAACCAAAAUGAACUUACAGGUUUUAAAAGAAAAUGCUUUUGUUGUUAAAGCUUUAACCUUCAAAAUGAGAAAUGAUUUCUAAUCAUUUUCAAAACUAGUUUGUUUAAUUCAAAAAAAAGGAGCAAUACCUUGUUUUAAGGAAAAUAGUAAUAAUAAAAUAAAAGAAUUUUAAAAUCUCUCGAUUUGAAAUCUUUUAUAACAAAACCUUCAGAAGAUUUGGUUUUCAAAACUUGCAUUGAUUUCAACCCUCUUCAAAAGCUCUCUUCAUUUUGAAGUCUCAAAAAAAAAACUCGACUUUGUAAAAGCGCUUUCACUCUGUUUUUGAAACCUGUUUCCCAAAAAAAUCCCUUCCUUCAAAAGCUUGUUGCAAAGAGUAAUGCACGAAAAACAGCUUUUGAAAGCUGACAACCCUAGCUACGUUUAAGCCUGCCAAGCACUCUUUGAGAGCCAGAUGUUCAUCAACCCCGUGCGAUUCUUGGACACCCAAUGCCCUGGUGUGAAAAUUUGGAUACCCAACAACUGCAAGUGACGUGGAUACACCCGGAACAUGACUCACUCCCAAUUUUGGAAAAAGGUCUGUGGAGUGAUCAUACUGAAAGUGAAACAACUCAGAAGUAAGAAGAACUUCGGGAAUAGCACCCUUGCUUCUUCACCAACCGAGCAACGCCUAAAUCUCGGGGACGAGAUUCCUCUAAGGAGGGUGGACUGUAACAUCCCGGAUUUUUACGAAAAACCAAAAAUACGAACUUUUUAAAAUUUUUCCUGUAAUCGUGUGAAGCAUAUAGUUUCUAGGUCUAACUCGAUCCUAACCCGCUAACAAAACGUCGCAUUCAUAUAGAAUCGUUUGUAGACGAGUGCUCUUAAUCGCGAGUCGUCUUAAGUUGGGUCUUGUUUAGGGUUUUGAGUUUCUUUUGGAGUGCACAAAUCCGUAGCAAAGUCUUUCUGAAUCUCUGUUGAGCCUAUCUCAAAGGCGAAGCGAAUCCCUUCUCAAUCUUUCCGUUGGAGUACGUCUCAAACUCCAUUGGAUUUUAUCCGAUCUCCUUUUGAAUCUUCUCCAACUCCUUUUGUUUUCAUUCCAUUGUGUUUAAUCAAAAAUAGAAAACCAUUUUCUCCUCCUCUCUUAUUUUUCUCUCCUUUCUCCCCCUCGUGCAUGCCCAUCCAGGCCUCCUAGCGCCCCCCUCCCUGGCCCAUAGCGUGGACAGCAGCGCCGGCCCACCCCCUCCCCUCUCCGCGGCCCAGCUACCUCUCCCUUGGCCCAAGCCACCCAGCGGCCCAGCUCCAAGCCACGCGGCCCAGGCAGAGGCCCAACCGGCGCCAUCCCCCUUCCAACCGCGCGGCCCAGCCAGCUCCCCAUCUCCACUCCACGGCCCGCGCAGCAGCCAAGGCCCACCUAGCCCAAGACCAGCACCCCUGGAACCCUAGGUGUGCCCCCUGGCUCCCAGACGCCGUCGCCGCGCCCCUGCAGCGCCGCACUCGUGCCCUGGACGCCCGUGCUGCUGCCAGAUGAGCGCCACGCGGCCCGCCCAACGGCACGGACGCCGAGGAUCACCGCCCGCAGCGCCUAGCACCCCUGGAACCCUAGGCCACGACGCGUAUAAGAGCCCGAGCCGCCGCCCUCCUCUUCUAUCCCACGACGCCGCCGCUCUGCUCCACCACCCAGUGACGCCAAGCACCACCUCGCCCCGGAGCCAGAGCCGCCGCGCCGCGCCGCGCCGAGCUUCGGCCUCGCCCUCGCCCCGGCCGCCGCGACGACGCCAUCAGACCGCGUGCUCGCCACGGUCGCCACGUCCAGGAGCGACGCCGCGGCGAGUGCUCCCUUUUCGUCGAGCUCCACCACGACAGCGCCACGACCGCCGUGCGUCCUCGACCCGAGCCGCGACGCCGGACUUCGACAGCACCUCGUCAAGCUUCGCCCUCGCGCAUCCGUCGCCGCCGAGCCGAGCGUCGACGCCGAGCGUUCCGCACCGAGCAGGAGCCCAGCACGCCCACGACGGCCGACCACUGCGGGUGUGUCGCGGCAUAACCGCGGGCACGCCGAGCCCCGUCCCCGAGCCACCACGACGACGCCGUGCUCGAGCCCCAUCGCCCCCGUGUCGUCCUCGCCAAGUCGAGCAGCCGCGCCACCGCCGAGCUCGCCGCGGUCACCACGUCAGCGCCGGCCAUGGUGAUCGCGAACCCGACCACGACGUCGUGCUCAGCGUGCCAUGGUGACCGCGAACUUCUCCUUUUGCUGGCCACCGUUCAUCUCUGCACGUGCAGCACAGCCUCAGCAGCAGCAGCACCCCAUCUUCGGCAACAUCCACUGCCGCUGGUGAGACAGUAGGCAAGCUUUGUUCUUCUCCUCAUUGUGGUUGACCUUGUCGCUGUCCUUGCUGAGACCGGCCUUCGUGCCAUGUUUUACUGCUGUCACAGGGAGGCCUCGGACCUGCUACACCUUCCCACGGAAGCCGCAACGCUAGAGCUACCAUGAGUGGAACCUCGCAGCACCGCUGAUCGCCUUUGCAACAUUUUGCCGAGCACCGGCCAAUGACGAAGCCGCGCGACCAAGCAUGACCACCACUUCGCUGCAUCCGAAGAACAACAGCUGCUACCACAGCCCAUCGGCUCCAAGGUCGAGCCCCGAACCCUAGUUGGCGUCAUUCCCGAUGCCAACAAAAACCCUAUUCUGCUUUCAUACACUUGCUAUAUGAUUCAUCUUUAUCCAUCUAUCUAUACUUGUCGAUACAUGAAUUAUUUAUUCUAUGCCUGUGCCGUGCCUUCGUGCCGGUCUGUUUAUCUAUCCGUUUAUCUAUCUCUGUUGGUCGCUAUGGAAAUGUGCUACUCUACUUUGUCUUUGUGUUGGUCGCGGCAUUGUGGUUCUUUGUGCGUUGGUUCUUGUGUCAUGUGGUUGGUUGGUUGUGAACCGUGCCUUCGAGCCGGUUGAGAGAGUGAUGUGUUUGAAUGUUGCGAUCGCGAGUUGUCUCGCCAUGGUCGUAGUGCCAAGCAUAUCCCUUCUCGGGUUGUCGUCGUUCUUUCUUUUGUUAUUUGCCUGAGGACUGAGCCUUCGAGCCGGUCGGGGAAGUGGUAGUGCGUUUGAUCAUUUCGAUCGUGG